ACCCUCUGGCAAUGGGCAAAGAGACACCUUGUUGGUGGAAGUGUUCUUUUAUCAGUCAGGGGCAGAACAGAUAGCAGUCCUUUAUUCAUCCUAGCAUGAUGCCUGGCUUGGUGGCCAAAGUUGUUUUAUGACUAGGACUCAUAA